UACGUAGGGGGCAAGCGUUGUCCGGAUUUAUUGGGCGUAAAGAGCGUGUAGGCGGCCAUACAGGUCCGUUGUGAAAACUGGAGGCUUAACCUCCAGACGUCGAUGGAAACCGUAUGGCUAGAGUCCGGAAGAGGAGAGUGGAAUUCCUGGUGUAGCGGUGAAAUGCGUAGAUAUCUGGAGGAACACCGGAGGCGAAGGCGAAUCACUGGACCGCUUCUGACGCUGAGGCGCGAAAGCUAGGGGAGCAAACAGG
rnacentral:rRNA from 1 species